rnacentral:rRNA from 2 species
GUUAUAUGGUCAAGUGAAGAAGCGCAUACGGUGGAUGCCUUGGCAGUCAGAGGCGAUGAAAGACGUGGUAGCCUGCGAAAAGCUUUGGGGAGUCGGCAAACAGACUGUGAUCCAGAGAUCUCUGAAUGGGGGAACCCACCCGGCAUAAGCCGGGUAUCUUGUACUGAAUCCAUAGGUGCAAGAGGCGAACCAGGGGAACUGAAACAUCUAAGUACCCUGAGGAAAAGAAAUCAACCGAGAUUCCCUAAGUAGUGGCGAGCGAACGGGGACUAGCCCUUAAGUUGAUUUGAGUGUAGUGGAAGGCUCUGGAAAGUGCCGCCGUAGUGGGUGAUAGCCCCGUACACGAAACGCUCUUAUCAAUGAAAUCGAGUAGGACGGGGCACGAGAAACCUUGUCUGAACAUGGGGGGACCAUCCUCCAAGGCUAAAUACUACUGACUGACCGAUAGUGAACUAGUACCGUGAGGGAAAGGCGAAAAGAACCCCGGAGAGGGGAGUGAAAUAGAUCCUGAAACCGUAUGCGUACAAGCAGUGGGAGCCUACUUUGUUGGGUGACUGCGUACCUUUUGUAUAAUGGGUCAGCGACUUAUAUUCAGUGGCGAGCUUAACCGAAUAGGGGAGGCGUAGCGAAAGCGAGUCUUAAUAGGGCGCUUUAGUCGCUGGGUAUAGACCCGAAACCGGGCGAUCUAUCCAUGGGCAGGUUGAAGGUUAGGUAACACUGACUGGAGGACCGAACCGACUACCGUUGAAAAGUUAGCGGAUGACCUGUGGAUCGGAGUGAAAGGCUAAUCAAGCUCGGAGAUAGCUGGUUCUCCUCGAAAGCUAUUUAGGUAGCGCCUCGUGUAUCACUGCUGGGGGUAGAGCACUGUUUCGGCUAGGGGGUCAUCCCGACUUACCAAACCGAUGCAAACUCCGAAUACCAGCAAGUGUCAGCACGGGAGACACACGGCGGGUGCUAACGUCCGUCGUGAAAAGGGAAACAACCCAGACCGUCAGCUAAGGUCCCAAAGUUAUGGUUAAGUGGGAAACGAUGUGGGAAGGCUUAGACAGCUAGGAGGUUGGCUUAGAAGCAGCCAUCCUUUAAAGAAAGCGUAAUAGCUCACUAGUCGAGUCGGCCUGCGCGGAAGAUGUAACGGGGCUCAAACCAUACACCGAAGCUACGGGUUCAUCCUUUGGAUGAGCGGUAGAGGAGCGUUCUGUAAGCCUGUGAAGGUGAGUUGAGAAGCUUGCUGGAGGUAUCAGAAGUGCGAAUGCUGACAUGAGUAACGACAAUGCGAGUGAAAAACUCGCACGCCGAAAGACCAAGGUUUCCUGCGCAACGUUAAUCGACGCAGGGUUAGUCGGCCCCUAAGGCGAGGCAGAAAUGCGUAGUCGAUGGGAAACGGGUUAAUAUUCCCGUACUUCUAGUUACUGCGAUGGAGGGACGGAGAAGGCUAGGCCAGCACGGCGUUGGUUGUCCGUGUUUAAGGUGGUAGGCUGAGAUCUUAGGUAAAUCCGGGAUCUUAAGGCCGAGAGCUGAUGACGAGCGUUCUUUUAGAAUGCGAAGUGGUUGAUGCCAUGCUUCCAGGAAAAGCUUCUAAGCUUCAGGUAACUAGGAACCGUACCCCAAACCGACACAGGUGGUUAGGUAGAGAAUACCAAGGCGCUUGAGAGAACUCGGGUGAAGGAACUAGGCAAAAUGGCACCGUAACUUCGGGAGAAGGUGCGCCGGUGAGGGUGAAGUAUUUACUACGUAAGCCCAUGCCGGUCGAAGAUACCAGGCCGCUGCGACUGUUUAUUAAAAACACAGCACUCUGCAAACACGAAAGUGGACGUAUAGGGUGUGACGCCUGCCCGGUGCCGGAAGGUUAAUUGAUGGGGUUAGCGCAAGCGAAGCUCUUGAUCGAAGCCCCGGUAAACGGCGGCCGUAACUAUAACGGUCCUAAGGUAGCGAAAUUCCUUGUCGGGUAAGUUCCGACCUGCACGAAUGGCGUAACGAUGGCGGCGCUGUCUCCACCCGAGACUCAGUGAAAUUGAAAUCGCUGUGAAGAUGCAGUGUAUCCGCGGCUAGACGGAAAGACCCCGUGAACCUUUACUAUAGCUUUGCACUGGACUUUGAGCUUGCUUGUGUAGGAUAGGUGGGAGGCUUUGAAGUGGGGACGCCAGUUCUCAUG